rnacentral:rRNA from 1 species
GAAUUGACGGUGANCUCANGGAAGUUGACGGNNNACUCANAGGUGUUGACGGCUUUCUAUAUGGGANUAAACNCUCGCUCGUGAGCGAGGCUGAAGGUACCAUACGAAUAAGGAUCGGCUAACUCCGUGCCAGCAGCCGCGGUAAUACGGAGGAUCCAAGCGUUAUCCGGAUUCAUUGGGUUUAAAGGGUCCGCAGGCGGGGCAUUAAGUCAGUGGUGAAAGCCUACCGCUCAACGGUAGGACUGCCAUAGAUACUGGUGCUCUUGAGUGUAGUUGAAGUGGGCGGAAUGAGUCAUGUAGCGGUGAAAUGCAUAGAUAUGACUCAGAACACCGAUUGCGAAGGCAGCUCACUAAACUAACACUGACGCUCAGGGACGAAAGCGUGGGUAGCAAACAGGAUUAGAUACCCUGGUAGUCCACGCUGUAAACUAUGAUCACUCGCUGUUGGCGAUAUACAGUCAGCGGCCAAGCGAAAGCAUUAAGUGAUCCACCUGGGGAGUACGCUCGCAAGAGUGAAACUCAAAGGAUUUGAC